AAAAUAAGCUUCUAGGGUUCCGGUUGAUAACGUCUGGUCCGAGAGAAGCAAGCUGCUCUAAGUAGCUACACGGAGGGAGAAAAGCCCGGGAGAA
rnacentral:sRNA from 2 species